rnacentral:tRNA from 1 species
AGAGGUGUAGCACAGUUUGGUCAGCACAUAUGUUUUGGAUACAAAAAAUAUAGGUUCGAAUCUUGUCACUUUGA